AGCUUUGCGCAGUGGCAUUAUCAUAGCCAAUGAGGUUUAUCCAAGGCAUGAUUAUUGCUGAAUAUUGUUAAUUGAAUGGGGAGUAUGGGAAUGACUUGUAUAAGG
rnacentral:snRNA from 14 species